ACAUGCAAGUCGAACGGAACCUUCGGGUUUAGUGGCGAACGGGUGAGUAAAGCGCAGGUAAUCUGCCGCAAAGUUGGGGACAACGUUCCGAAAGGGACGCUAAUACCGAAUGUUGUAAGUGAAUCGCAUGGUUUGCUUAUUAAAGAUUUAUCGCUUUGCGAGGAGCCUGCGUCCGAUUAGCUGGUUGGUAGUGUAAGGGACUACCAAGGCGACGAUCGGUAGCCGGUCUGAGAGGAUGAACGGCCACAAUGGAACUGAGACACGGUCCAUACUCCUACGGGAGGCAGCAGUGGGGAAUAUUCCACAAUGGGGGAAACCCUGAUGGAGCGACGCCGCGUGAGUGAAGAAGGGCUUCGGCUCGUAAAGCUCUUUUGUCUUUGACGAAUGCUCUGUUAGACAGAGAGAGACGGUAGAAGGCGAAUAAGCCACGGCUAACUACGUGCCAGCAGCCGCGGUAAUACGUAGGUGGCAAGCGUUGUCCGGAAUUAUUGGGCGUAAAGGGAGCGCAGGCGGGAUGGCAAGUCCAAAUUAAAAGUGCGGGAGUAAUGCCCGUGAGGGUUUGGAAACU
rnacentral:rRNA from 1 species